GUUUCCGUAGUGUAGCGGUUAUCACGUCUGCUUCACACGCUGAAGGUCCCCAGUUCGAUCCCGGGCGGGAACA
rnacentral:tRNA from 1 species